rnacentral:rRNA from 1 species
AUUGAACGCUGGCGGCAUGCUUUACACAUGCAAGUCGAACGGUAACAGGCCUUCGGGUGCUGACGAGUGGCGAACGGGUGAGUAAUGCAUCGGAACGUACCCAGAGGUGGGGGAUAACGCAGCGAAAGCUGUGCUAAUACCGCAUGUGAUCUGAGGAUGAAAGCGGGGGACCGCGCAGCAAUGUUUGGCCUCGCGCCUUUGGAGCGGCCGAUGUCGGAUUAGCUAGUUGGUGGGGUAAAGGCCUACCAAGGCGACGAUCCGUAGCUGGUCUGAGAGGACGACCAGCCACACUGGGACUGAGACACGGCCCAGACUCCUACGGGAGGCAGCAGUGGGGAAUUUUGGACAAUGGGCGCAAGCCUGAUCCAGCAAUGCCGCGUGAGGGAAGAAGGCCUUCGGGUUGUAAACCGCUUUUGGCAGGAACGAAACGGUGUCCGCUAAUACCGGGCGAUAAUGACGGUACCUGCAGAAUAAGCACCGGCUAACUACGUG